rnacentral:pre_miRNA from 1 species
UAUUAGGUUGGUGCAAAAGUAAUUGCAGUUUCUGCCAUUGAAAGUGAUGGGAGAAACUGCAAUUACUUUUGCACCAAACUAAUA